rnacentral:rRNA from 1 species
GCAGCUUGCUGCUUUGCUGACGAGUGGCGGACGGGUGAGUAAUGUCUGGGAAACUGCCCGAUGGAGGGGGAUAACUACUGGAAACGGUAGCUAAUACCGCAUAACGUCGCAAGACCAAAGAGGGGGACCUUCGGGCCUCUUGCCAUCGGAUGUGCCCAGAUGGGAUUAGCUAGUAGGUGGGGUAACGGCUCACCUAGGCGACGAUCCCUAGCUGGUCUGAGAGGAUGACCAGCCACACUGGAACUGAGACACGGUCCAGACUCCUACGGGAGGCAGCAGUGGGGAAUAUUGCACAAUGGGCGCAAGCCUGAUGCAGCCAUGCCGCGUGUAUGAAGAAGGCCUUCGGGUUGUAAAGUACUUUCAGCG